GUCGCCUGCUCGAUGUACCUGGCGAUGCCGGUCACAAAGGCAUUUCUAUCUUCAAAGUUUGUGUCAAAAUUAGCCUGGUACAUGAUGGAGGAGGGAGGCGGCUCGAUGCAUGGCUGCUGGUCUGGCAGUGGCAGCUCCUCCAACAGGUCCACAUUGGACAGGGCAUCCUCCAGCGUGACGUGGGUCGUCAUGGUGCCAGCUGUUCAGUUUCCACGCUGGCGCUGGGUUCGGGGCUCGGGGCGGCGAUGCUCGGAUGCUCCGCGCCGCCCGCACAAAGAGCAGGAAAUGGCUGCAGCAAGUGCACUUCCGCGGCUCUCCGCCGGCCCCUCCGCUCGGCGACGGCGGCG
rnacentral:lncRNA from 1 species